GCCCUCUGUCGGUAUUAACCAGGUAGAGAGGGACAACUAUGACCUCGGGCUGGGCUGGGCUGGAAAUGGCAUCCUGUAGGAAAUAAGGGGGUGGUUAUGUAAAGGGGUACAGCAGGGAAGAAGGAAUUCCUUAUUUAAACAGUCAAGAGUGGACAUGCAAUGAUGUACUGUGAGAAAUAUUUAAUCGGUGCCCUUUCCUCAGAGUCCAUGAGACAGUCAGUGCUAGCCAGCUGGCCUCCUGACAUUCUGUGACACAGAGGGAACCCCGUCCAAGUUUACUUUCCAUCCAUCUAUUUUUAACUCCUUUUAACACUUUAGAGAGAGAACAAGAGAACAGGCAGGCAGGCUGUGUUUAACCCCCAAACCGCUAGCAGAGCCUGAAAGCUUGGGAGUCAAUACGAUCUCUUUGGCACCUGGUUAUAAAACACAUACGACAGAAUAUCUCAUCAUACUCAUAGCGUACAGGUCCCACGCUCCAGCAUACUUACGUAUUUACAGAAAACAGAGGGGGGAGACACACAGAGAGGACGGUGCUGAGAUGUUUAGAGAGGAUUUGGGAGUCGAGCUACAGCAACAUUAACGAGGAAAGGGAGGGCAGGGCGCCCCAGAAAACAAUCGAGCUGCUCACAUGAGCUUCGAAAGAGACCAUGGAGAAGACACACAAACAUUCCUAAUUCCUUGCCUUGGCUGGAUAACACGGCUGCAAAAGGAAAUGGAGAACCGGAAGAAUCAUCCUGAGUUGUGUUCAGAGACAGAUGUUUUCAGCGAAUCGCUAGGACCUAGUGCUCUAUUCCACUCUGUAACACGGCAAAUUAAUGCUCACCAAGAAGAGAACGCUAAGGACUUAGAAUUCACGUGCUUCUCAGAGGAAAUGGUUUGAUGGAACUAAUUAUUAGAAGGAAGACAGGCGUGAGAUGAAAAGCAUCCAUUUUUGAUGUAUCUAGAACAUAGGGAACAGGCAAUAAAGCAUUUGACUGGCCGACGGGACUGGACUGGGCCUGGUUUCACAAAUCCCAGCCCAUCUCCUCUUCCCAUCCAGCCCACCAGGGAAAGAUGCUCUUGGUCUAAGCCCAAGAAAACUACAGUGCUCAUCUUAUUCCUCUCCCUCAACACGGCUCUGAGCUCCUCCUCCUCAGGUCUCAGUGGGGCAGAGGGUCAGGAAACGGGGUAAAGCUCCAGAUGUCCUCACUUCAAGGAGAGCCCAUCUGUCAACCUGCAGCUCAACUGGGAAUGAGUGAGGACACAGGGAGAAGGCAGCUGUCUACCUGCCAGGAAGACAGCCUUAGCCAGGAACCCAAUGGACCAGCCCCUUGACUUUGGACUUCCCAGCCUCCAGAACUAUGAGAAAUGAAUGUCUGUUGAUUGAGCCACCUGUCUUUGAUAUUUUAUUAUAGCAGCCUAGGCUAAGACACCUAGAUUUUCUUCACAAGUCCCCAUCUUUUUUUUUUUUUU